GAAGGCUUAUAAGGGGGAUAACUGAGUGAAGCAUGUGUAGCUUUAAACACUCAGGAGCGAGUUAAAGAGCAUGAAGAUGAAGGAAACAAAAGGAGUAGUCAUGUACAUAACUCGGGUUGAAACUAUGGCGAACCAACAUGGCGGAAAUGGAGAAAUGAUGCAUGCUAAAAAAAUUGUGGAGAAGAUUUUGAGGUAGUUAAAUUGUACAUUUGAGGAUUCCAAGAAUCUAUUAGUGCUCACGGUUGAAGACCUUGUCAGGUCCCCUAAGGCACACAAGCAGCAGAUGAUAAAGAAGAAGAAGAAGAAGAAGAAGACACAUUACACUCAGAAUACUCAAAGUAGAUGAUGGUACCAAUGAGGUAUAUGACCCAGUCUUGAUGGUAAAAGUUAAGGAUACAAAGAACAAAAAGAACGGUUCGAUCAACAAAAUUAGCACAGAAGAGAAAGAUGUAUAUGGAGAGGACG
rnacentral:lncRNA from 1 species